GAUGAAGAACGUAGCGAAAUGCGAUACGUAAUGUGAAUUGCAAAUUCAGUGAAUCAUCGAGUCUUUGAACGCACAUUGCGCCCCCUGGUAUUCCGGGGGGCAUGCCUGUCCGAGCGUCAUUGCUGCCCUCAAGCACGGCUUGUGUGUUGGGCCCCGUCCUCCGAUCCCGGGGGACGGGCCCGAAAGGCAGCGGCGGCACCGCGUCCGGUCCUCGAGCGUAUGGGGCUUUGUCACCCGCUCUGUAGGCCCGGCCGGCGCUUGCCGAUCAACCCAGAUUUUUAUCCAGGUUGACCUCGGAUCAGGUAGGGAUACCCGCUGAACUUAAGCAUAUCAAUAAGCGGAGGA
rnacentral:misc_RNA from 1 species